CCUACGGGAGGCUGCAGUGAGGAAUAUUGGUCAAUGGACGAGAGUCUGAACCAGCCAAGUAGCGUGAAGGAUGACUGCCCUAUGGGUUGUAAACUUCUUUUAUAUGGGAAUAAAACGUUCCACGUGUGGGAUUUUGUAUGUACCAUAUGAAUAAGGAUCGGCUAACUCCGUGCCAGCAGCCGCGGGAAUACGGAGGAUCCGAGCGUUAUCCGGAUUUAUUGGGUUUAAAGGGAGCGUAGGGGGAUUGUUAAGUCAGUUGUGAAAGUUUGUGGCUCAACCGUAAAAUUGCAGUUGAAACUGGCAAUCUUGAGUACAGUAGAGGUGGGCGGAAUUCGAGGUGAAGCGGUGAAAUGCUUAGAUAUAACGAAGAACUCCGAUUGCGAAGGCAGUUCACUGGACUGCAACUGACACUGAGGCUCGAAAGUGUGGGUAUCAAACAGGAUUAGAUACCCGAGUAGUC
rnacentral:rRNA from 1 species